rnacentral:lncRNA from 1 species
AGAAUCUCUCUUUCUUGAUUCUUGGUUCAAUUGAUGUUCUAAAGUUAGUUUCCAAUCACCAAUCAGUGAUUCGUAGGUGUUUUAAAAGUUUCUUGCAUUGCAAGAAAUCGGUGGAGCAUUUUGAGAAAUUAAGCGGUUAGGUUAGAGGUAAGGGAAACUAGUGUUUUUAUUUUAAUUUGAGUUGCAAAGUAUGUUUUGGUAUGUAAUAGUAUAGAAAUUCAAUAUAUGCUAACUUUUNAUGUUUGAUUUGUAUGGUGCUUUUAUAUGCAUGAUUGAUUGAAUGAAAAUGAUUGUAUGAAUUUGAUUAAAGUUAAUUUUUGGCUUGUAUGUGUGGUUGGUGUGGUGAAGGAUGAUGGUAUAAAAUUAUUUACAGUAGAGAGGAAUCGGUUUAGGAAGAUGGUAGUUAUAGUUUAGUGAUGAUUUGAAUGGUUUUAGGUGCAAACUUGGGAACUUGAGUAGUGAAAUUUUGAUGGGAAUGUUCUGAGACAAAUU